rnacentral:lncRNA from 1 species
NNCCACCCCAAACCCGGGUCGGAGGCAGAGCCCGCGGCGUAAGUACUGCAGUGGCCGGCGUGGGGCAGGGGGACUGGGGUGGACCGGGCCGGGACAGGGGACGAGGGGUGGGCAGGAGAGUGUCGCGGGGGCCUGGUGCCUGGAGAGCAUGGGGGCGGGGGGCGCUCUACCCCCCUGGGGAACGAGAGAAGCCGGGGUGAGAGGGCGAGUCUGGCCUAUCCCCUGUGGUGACCAGAUCCUAGUGACCGGAUCCCUGGGGUAGGUGGGGAUGAAAUUGAGGGAAUGGGGGCUGAAGGGGCGGUAGUGAUGGAGAGAGAAGGAUGAAGGGAAUUUGGAGGCAGGGAUGACGUGGGGGUGGAUGGCAAGGAGAGGGGGCUGGGGAGGACCUGGCAGCAGGCUGGGAGGAAAAAGGCAGGAAAAGAGAGAGGUGGAAAGAUAUUUGAUCUCCUGAGCCACUAAUCGGCAACCCCCUCAGCCCUCACUCAGCCCCUUCCUCUCUAGUGCCCUGGGCAGUUUCCCUGCUCACCGGGCUGUGCUGUGCUCUAGUAAGGACGGAGUCUCCAGGUCACCCGAUGGUCAGGGCUGGUGGUCCAAGCCGGGACACCCUCCCCCUCUAAGAGCACCCAUAUUGGCCCUAGAGCUGGAGGGGAGAGAGAAAAGGGCUCAUUUGGGAGUGGGUGGGUGUCCAAGCCCGUUUUCAAAGCUCUGCCUAGCUAUACCAUUUUUUCCUUUGGUUCCCUGGAGAAAGGAAAGCAAUUUGCAAAACCAGGCAGCAGCCUGAGGUAAAUUGUUCUGACUAAAAUUAGCACUGAUAUUCUGAUGAGGCUGGGCAUCCUGACCUGUCUGGGACGGCUGAGGGAAACUCUCUCCAUGGAGAAGACACAGGGGAGGCAGAGGAGUUUGAAGAAUACAAGGGGCAGGAGCCAGGGCCCCAGGAGACCACCACCCACCCCACACCAGCCUGGAGAUUACAGAGGUUAGAUCCAGCCCUGGCCAGCCCCCUCCCCGGGUGCCAGUGCCCUGACUCCAUCUCCAGAGGAGGCAUCAUGGAGAGAACUUGGCAAGGGAAGGGAGGCCGCUUCCAGUGUCCAAGCAGCACCCUCUCUGAGGACCUGGAAUGUUUAGCCUGGCCGAGUGCCCACCCAGAGGAGACAAGGUUACUGCUUUCAAAUACCUGAAGGUCUGUCAUGGAGAAAAAUGAUCCAUGUGGUCUAGGACAGCAACACUAGCAAUCAUAUAGAUGGAAGGUGGAAGGGGACAGGCUGAGCAGGGCACUCAUAGUGGCAGGCUGAUCCUAGCUGUCCCAGAAACAACUUUUGAACAGCUGAGGCUGCUCAGAAACGGACCAGGCUGUAUCUGAAGGUAGUGAGCGUCCCGACACUGGUGGUGGCCAAGCAGAAACCGGUGCCCACCUUAGAGGUGGUGUCCAUGAAGUUCUUGCGCUAACGAUGCCCUAUUUCAAGGGGACCUUAGACGAGGGUCUGGCUGGCUGGGUCCCCAGGGCUAAGACAUGGAGGGGAGUGGGACGGAGGAGACCACCAAGCACCCUGUUGUUCUUCUCUGUGUGGCCUGCUUGAAGCACUUCCCAGGGAAAGUCCCCGCAGCGCUCUCUCCGGGCUUGACCUCCUUGGCUGACCCAGAGUCCUCUGAAAAUAGAAUAGUUUUAGCGACUUUAGCAGUGAUGUGAAUAGGUUGACUUCCCACUUUGCCCCCUUGGGAAACUCCCAUCUUGUCACCAAAUCCUCUAGGCAAGACGAGUGGCAGAGGCCACAGGCUCUGACUUCCCUUGUAGGCUUCCUCACCCUCGCAUAGCCAGCCCUUCUCUGCCCUUAACAAUCCUUGAAAAGACAGCAGGGCCUUAGGCUUUCUCUGCUAUGCCCUUGGCUGCCCUCUGUGGUGGACUCUUCACCCCCCUCGGCUCCAGGCAGAUUAAGUCUGUCUGCAGGCUGGUGGAGGAAACCAGGUGAUGCAGCCUGGAGAGAAAGGAAAGGCCUAACCAUCACAUCAUUCCACCCGAGCAGGUUUAAAUGUAAUCCAGGAUUAAUGAGAGGAGAGGGGAAGGUAGCGGUAAAGAAGAGGAACUAGAAACCAAGCUCUACGCCCCAGCAGGAAGUGAUGGUCAAAAGUUUUUACGUUACCUCAUCCCUCCUGGGACCCAGGUGUCCUAGUUCCACAUACGUGCAAAUGCCCAUAGGGUUCCAGGCUCCCUCUCACCUUUCAAGAGGUGUGAAUGUGAGGCUGACGCUGAACCCAGACCUGGAGACUAAGGCCCCUGAGACACAGACACCACCCUAGUGGGGAGACAGACAUUGCUGCUGAAGCUGUCUUUCCACCAGGACUGCCAAAGGCCAGGCUGCCCUUGAGCCAAGGCAUUUGUGCAGAGACAGGUGACUGGCUGGAAAACAGGCCCUCCCUGCUUCUGCCUCUCACUCCUGCCACUCACCUGGGAUGGAGGCCCAUCUUCUUCUGGAGAAUCUCAUCGGGGAAACAAGCAGGAGCCCCUCUGUAUUCCCCACACCCCCCCCACCCUUUCCCCUCUCCCUGGCUGCCAUGUCAUGGCCUUGGCCAGGCACCUCUCACUGCAGUCAGCUGACAAAGUGGCCAAGGUUUCAGGUGUCUAGGGAUGGAAUCCAGAUAGGGUUCUGGGAUUUCAAGUCCUUCCUUUCUUUCUCUCAUGGAUUUAUUGGUCUUGGGCCCUCAGGGCAGGAGCCCAGCUAGGAAGGCUCGGGGCUGAGAAACACGUAGAACUACCAGAGUCCAGAGCAGGGAUGGAGAAAUCCGUGUUCUGUGGAAGCAGCACACAUUGCAUCUAGAAGGAUGGGCUUUGGAACCAGAAAGAACAGGUCUGAAUCCUGAUUCUGCCAACAACUGUGUGACCAGGGACAAGUAGCACCAUGUCAUAGAGCCUCAGUUUCCUUGUCUAUAAAAUGGGGAAUAAUGCCUGUGUUAGGGUGUGGUGGGGAUUAAACGGCAUUAAGUAUGUACUAGUGUGGUACAUAUAGUAAGCCUGCAGUAUCGAUGCCUUACGGAUGUCAAGAGACUCGAGAAGAUAUAGGUCCAGUCAGUGGUUUCUGAGGAGCUCGGUCUCUGGGGAGUCAAGACCAACUCUUGGCUGAAGCAGUCAGGCAAGGAAUCCUGGAGGAGGGAAACCUUGAAUUGAGACUUCUGUGCUUUAAGCCAAGCACUGGUGCUAAGGCAAGUCUACUGGGGGCGGGCAGACAGAAACAAAUAACCACAAGACAAAGACGAAUUAGGGCCAGGCCGAGAAGCUGAGACAGGGCUCCAGGGAGGAGUGGCUACCGCUUGAAGGGCUGGCCACACCCCAGAGCCUGUAAUUCCACCCAAGACUAAGUUAUCUAGAGGGUGCGGAGAUAGGGUCUUGGAAACGGGAGGUAGGAAUCCGAUCUUCUCUGGCUUCUCUGCGCACCCCACCCUUUGGAGCUCUCCUUUGCACCAGUCUUGCUGGGGCCCACAGUCCAUCUCCUCUGCCCGCCGCAAACCUGUUUGCCUCCUUCUCCUGCCAGGCCUCUCAGGAAUACUGGCCCUGCUACCAGAGCCCCAGGAGCCCCCAUGAGUGCUGGCGAAGGGAGUCCUGGAUAGCGAGGUCCCGGCUGGUCCAGGGGUGGGUACCCCAUCAUGCCACCCAUCCUCCAGCACCUGCAGCAGGCCUCCAAGAUGAUGAGCCGCAGAAAAAUCCUGCUGCUGGUGCUAGGGUGCAGCACCUUAAGCCUCCUCAUCCACCAGGGGGCACAGCUCAGCUGGUAAGGGGGCAGGGCCUCACUGCAUGGGCGGGACCCAGGGGAGCUGCAUUCUUGCCUGGUGGGCAACGGAAUUGGGAACUCUCCUUCCUACUCCUUCUGUCUGCCGGAAGGGUCUGUCUUCUGCUGGGCUUUGUUCCUUCCAUUUUUCUAAACUUAUUUUUUUUUAAUGGGCUCUAUGCCCAACAUGAGGCUUGAACUCACGACCCCAAAGACGAGUGUCGCAUGCUCCACUGACUGAGCCAGCCAGGCGCCCCUCCUUCCCUCUAUUCUAGUUGUGCUUUCUAUAUAUUCUCUUUAGAUCCACACAACCUGCUUGGGCAGGCACUGGUCUUCACUGAAAGGUUGCUUGAAGUCCUAGAGUUAGUGACUUAAACUGGGAUUCUAAUCCCGUCCAAAUGCUUCCCGUGGCAUCACAUUCUGAGCGCCUCCCCACAGGACUGCAAACAACUUCUCAUUACUUCUGCUGUGCUGGGCAAAUCCCCUCACUUUUCUGAGCCUGUUCCCUCAUCUACAAAAUGGGGAUGAUGCUACGGGUGACCCAGUUAGUCACCGUGAUACAGGAUACGUGAUGACUAGCAGUAGCCCUUACCCUGCUCCAUGAUUCACUGUGUGAAACCACCAAGUCCCUGCACCCUUCAGGGCCUCAUUCCCAUUUUCUACAUGGUCUGCCCAGAAGAAUGGUGUGAAUAGGCCCAGUUCUUGUUGGAUGAUUUAACGGUCUUUUGGUAGGGCAUCUGUGUAGAUAUUAUCCUGAGCCCAAAUGGGCCACAGAUAGGAAAUCUCAGUGGUGUUCUCAGAGCUGCUUAGGGUUCUCCUCAUUACAUGAUGCUUAGGAUAGAAAAGAAACAAUAGUAACUCAAUAUGCAGGGAAUUUACAGGUCACCUGUCAUCCCAAACACCCUUGUUUCAGGAAUAAGGAAACAAAUGAAAGCUUCAUGAAGGCUAGGAUUGUUGUCUGGUUUUUAUACUACUAGCAUAUUUCUUGAACCUAGAACAGUGCCUGGCAUAUAGUAGAUGCUCAAAAAAAAAAAAAAAAAAAAGACUUAUUGAAUGAAUGAGGCUCCAGAGAAUCUAACAGAAUCACAAAUCAAAUAGAUUGCCUCAAAGCCCGUGCCACUCACCUACAAGAUGAGAAGCCAAAGAGUAAAAAUGAGAAAAAAGCUAGAGAACAAGAGAAUAUGGUGACUUGAUUUAGUUGCCAGACAAUGUAAAUGAGUUUUCUCCUUCUGGUCCUCAGUUUCUACAUGUGUAGAGGAGACUUUCUCAAAGAUCUCCAAGGGCCUCUGUCCUUGUAUUAGUUGUUUCUGUGUAACCCAAUUACCUCCAAACUUAGCACCUGAAAACCUCAAACACUUAUUAUCUUGGGGCAUCUGGGUGGCUCAGUCAGUUAAGCGUUGGACUCUUGAUUUCAGCUCAGGUCAUGAUCUCACGGGUUCAUGGGUUCAAGCCCUGCAUCAGGCUCUGUGCUCAAAGUGCAGAGCCUGCUUGGGAUUCUCUCUUUCUACCUCUCUCUGCCUCUCCCCCACUCAUGUUCUCUCAGUCUCUCUCAAAAUAAAUGAAUAAAACUUUAAAAAUAAUUUUAAAAAACACUUAUUAUCUUGCUUCUGUGGGCCAGGAAUCCAGGUGUGGAUUACCUGGGUUCCUCUGGCUCAAGGUCACAUGGUAUUGCAAUCAAGCUGGCUGCUAGGGAUGCAGUCUCAUCUGAAGGUCUGAUUGGAAAUGCUCCCCUUCCAAGCUCGUUCAUGUGGUUGCUGGCAAUAUUCAGUUCUUCAAGCAGGCUGAAAGAAUGAGGCCCGGUUCCUCAGGGACUGUUGUCGCCUGGUGCCUCCCCAUACAGCUGCUUACAGUACGGCAGUCUGCUUCUCCUUGCGUGAGUCAUCCCAGAGAGAGGCAGAGAGACCAAGAUAGAAGCCAUUGUCUUUUUAUAAUGUAAUCUCAGGAGUGGCAUCCCAUCAUUUCUGCCCUAUUCUAUUCCCGAGCAGCAUCAAGUCCCGCUCAUACUCAUGGGGAGGGAAAUACACAAGGGCGUGAAUACCCAGAGGCCAGCAGGGAUCACUGGGGUGACGUCAUACUAAAGGCCGCCUGGCAUAUCCCUCUACUGGUUCAUGGGUAUAGUCCGGGUUGGACCAUUCUGUGGCCCAUCUCACCAUCCUUGGGGAGGGGCAGGGGUCGAGAAGCAUCCCUCUCACACCCUCCACCCCCGCCCCCCCCUCCCCCGCACACCUCCCGAACUCUGCAGGUACCCCAAGCUGUUUCCUCUGAGCUGCCCGCCUCUGCGGGACUCACCGCCCCGCCCCAAGCACAUGN